rnacentral:rRNA from 1 species
CGUUCCCGGGCCUUGUACACACCGUCCGUCACGUCAUGAAAGUCGGUAACACCCGAAGCCCAUGGCCAACCCGCAAGGGGGGAGUGGUCGAAGGUGGGACUGGCGAUUGGGACG